CAGGACUCGAACUGACCUCAUGUCCCAUUGUUAAUCAGUGGUGCUGGUUUCAGUCAUUAUGUAAAUGUGUUGUUUAUUAUGUCGGGAAACCUUCAUCAGCUGAGACUGAAAAAUUCACUUGGAUGAGUGAAAAAAUGUUUCUCCCACUGAAAACACUACGUGCAGAUGAACAGAAUCAUUGUUUUGAGAUUUUACCAGAAAGGCUUUAGGACCCAGGGGAUUGAAGGGAGGGUGUAAAGUAGUGGGCGAUCACUCUUUCUCCCCGGUUCUAUCACAGAGGCGUCCCUAUCGUUACAACGCCUUUACAGUUACUAAGAAGGAAACGCGGUCCGUUACUAUUUUUCAACAAACAGACGGUUGCAGCUGUGUUCAGUUUACCGCAUUUUAUAUCAGUUGCACGGAAGUAGCUGUAAGUAAUCUGGACGCUACAGCUUUAAGCAGCUGCGCGCUCCCGCGGACGGUAAUCACGAUCACUGUCUAGCACAACACCUGGAGCUCAGGGGGCAAAACAAUCGCAUGAGUGCUGCUGUUUGACUGAGGAAGAAUAAAGUAGUUGUGGUCAGAAUAUCAUUAAGUGUCACACUUUGACAAGUUCAUCAGCUGGUAACAAACCUGUUCACAGCUCAGAUCCAGACUCAGAUUUGGUGCCUUUCAGUGUCUGAAGAUGUGUUCGAGUCUCUCCACCAGCCGCCUGAUUCUUCUGAUCUCCCUGAGUGUGAUGAUGCUCAUCUCUGUAUCAGGGGCUGAACACGUGGGGAUACUCUGCUAUGAAAAUCAUUCUAACCAAAAUGCAAGAACCACAAAGGGUACACCUGUAUGGGCCAAAAACAUCAUCAGCUGCUUUGAACAAAACAGACAUGGCUGCCUUCAUGGCUAUGAGGUCAAAACACAAGCGCCAAAAACACGUGCAGAAAGAACAUUUUUCCUCAAACCAAACACCGAGUGGAUAAAAAGGAAAAUAAAUGAGGGAACUCUGCUGUGUCCUCCACAGAUUUCUAAAUGAUGAUAAUGGAAACGAUGAAACAAAAGCUGUAGGACACAAGACCCUAGUGUUUUUUGCCCAUUAUUCAUUAUUAAUUCUUUUCUUCUUCUUUUCUUUUUUCUUCUUCUUUCACCACCACAGGGAACUCUGCUGUGUCCUCCAGUGUUUUCAAAUAAACAUGUAUAAGCUAUUAAUCUUUAAUGAGUCCUCCCACUGUAGUUUGUAUAUUCCAACUGCACUACACUGUUUAGAAGCAGUGACUGUCUGUCAUCUUGUCUCGUAGGUUUCUUAAUUCACACAGUGAUUUUCAUAGAUUUAAUCUAAGUAUAGAUGAUGAAAAUGAUGAAACAUAGUUAAAGUAAAGCAGCUGCUGGAAACAUUUCUGCUCAUUUAUUAGUUCACACUUUGACAGAAAUAUUUGUUAAGAAAUGUAAAUUAUUUUUUGCAAAUUAUUCAUAGCACCUUAACAGUCUUAUGUUCACACACACACACACACAUAUAUAUAUAUUUAUAUAUGUACAAUACAAAGCAAUUUUACUAUAUAACAUGUUUAAAGCCAGGGGGUACACCAAAUUGCUUCACAGUAAGGAAUGAACAGUAAAAUGAUAACACUGAACAGUAAGUCAUUAAAAAAUGUAAAAUAGAGAAACAAACAAAGGCAUUAGUAAGUAGGGAUUGGCAGAAUUCAUGAUAAUCCAGAGAAAUGAGUAAAGAUACGCCAGUUAGUGAUUGGUGAGAAUUAGCAAAUAUACUACAAAUAUCAUUAAAUAUGAAUGUUAUUCUGUCUUCAAGCUGAGAACAAAGAUAAAUCAAUAAAAGCUUCUGAAAUCAGAUCUUUUUUAAUGGUCUGUGUGAUUAAUUACCAUUUGCUGUAGGUGUUAUAACUGACAACAAAAUACUUAUUGUUGUGAUUAUUUCAUGAUGACGUCAUGAUCACAGGACACCAGGAGGCAGCAUUUAACCGAUAUGGCAG
ensembl:lncRNA